rnacentral:rRNA from 1 species
AGCGAACGCUGGCGGCAUGCCUUACACAUGCAAGUCGAACGGUAACAGGUCUUCGGAUGCUGACGAGUGGCGAACGGGUGAGUAAUACAUCGGAACGUGCCUAGUAGUGGGGGAUAACUACUCGAAAGAGUGGCUAAUACCGCAUGAGACCUACGGAUGAAAGCAGGGGAUCGCAAGACCUUGUGCUACUAGAGCGGCCGAUGGCAGAUUAGGUAGUUGGUGGGAUAAAAGCUUACCAAGCCGACGAUCUGUAGCUGGUCUGAGAGGACGAUCAGCCACACUGGGACUGAGACACGGCCCAGACUCCUACGGGAGGCAGCAGUGGGGAAUUUUGGACAAUGGGCGAAAGCCUGAUCCAGCAAUGCCGCGUGCAGGAUGAAGGCCUUCGGGUUGUAAACUGCUUUUGUACGGAACGAAAAGCCCCGGGUUAAUACCCUGGGGUCAUGACGGUACCGUAAGAAUAAGCACCGGCUAACUACGUGCCAGCCGCCGCCGUAA